CAGUUCGUGAGGUGUUGGCCCUCUCAAAAGCCAAUAACCCCAAACUAGUCUUCCUUUGCGAGACUAGACAGGAGUCGUCGAGGAUUGAGAAGUUACGUUGGAGGCUAGGCCUCAAGGGUUUCCAUGGUGUCAGUAGUGAUGGAAGAAGUGGUGGCUUGGCUCUCUUUUGGGAUGAGUCGCUUGCUGUAACAAUUCUGGAUUCAUGCAGUAGAUACAUUGAUGUGAGCAUUACAGAGGGGGGUACCGGUUUUCCUUGGAGAGGCACCUUUGUCUAUGGCAAACCGAGAGUGGAGAAUAGAUAUCGUAUGUGGGAUCAUCUCUGUAGGCUUCGGGCUACUUCUACGGGACUGUGGUUGGUUUGUGGUGACUACAAUGUAGCCCUGUGGCAAAAUGAGCAUUUGUCCCGGUCCAUGCGCUUUGAAUCCCAAAUGGCGUCGUUCAGGGAUUGUCUUCAGGUGUGUGAACUGGAGGAUCUCGGUUUUUGCGGCAUCCCCUUUACAUACAACAAUGGCCAGGCACUAGACCGAAACGUCCAAGUUCGUUUGGAUCGGGCGUGUGCGGACGAAGCUUGGCGUGACUUGUUUCCGGCUGCGAGGUGCUCCACCUCGCAACGUUGUGCUCGGUUCACAGCCCCCUCUUGA
rnacentral:rRNA from 1 species